CUGGGAGCUGUCAAUCUAGGGUAGAACACAGUGCUUACAGACAGGAGUUGAGAGUGGCUUGUAUAACAUCCUCUGAGGAGGUGACGGCCAAGGGGGUCUGUCUCCCUUUCUGAGAGCCCAUCUGUGUCAUUCUUUCUCUUCCCAAUCAAAGGCCCCAUCAGCCUGUCACCAAGGGCACCUCGUCACAACAGGCGGUGCCUCACAGCUGCAAGACCAGAAGGAAUAUAGGUGCAUCAGUGCUGCCUUGUCAUACCAAUGGCAGCCUCCUGAAACACAAAAAUCAAGAAAUGAGGAACCAGAGAGAUAAAGCAGGUUCUCAUGACACCUGCCAACACUGUGUUUCACAGCGAAACCCCAAGGCAGUGGUAAAGAGGUCAUCGAAGAUCUUUCUUCAGGAGGAGUGGCCUCCGUGGUUUCCUGAGAAAGAUGUGAUCCCCAAAUCACAUGAUUUUCCAGCUGGAUUAGAAAGGAGAUUCAAUGGCAACUUUUCUAGCUCUUUUGUAUUUCAGAAAAUGAGACUGAAGCCCAGAGGACUGUCCUGCUCAAGGCUUCCCAGAAACUGGUAACAGAAGAGUCCCUUCUAGUUCGACCUAACAUUUUUUUAAACCAGGCUGUCCACCGAGCCAUCAUUUAGUUUUUCCAAUUCGCUCGUAUUUCAGAGCCAGAAGAUUCUGUUAACACUUCUGAUUUCUUCUUCCCAGAACUCUGUCUGAAUCCUCUGAUGACCUCAAGACAACCGUUGGAUCAAGGGGAUUUCAUAUAUGUCUGUUGCAGGAAGAGUAUAGGAGCCAAUAAAAAAUUCAAUGUGUGCUUCAGUGUUUAAACUUUUAUCACAGUAAAAUAAGCAUUGCCAUUAAUGUAUGCCUUCAUCACCACCCUCAGUUAGAACUCGUGUAUCCCGUCCCGUCCCAUCCCAUCCCAUCAUCCUAGCCAGUUUCUAGAGCAGUUCUGCAAGUGCUAUUUUUGAGGGUCUUUACCGGGUGUGAAAAACAAUUAGAGUGAAUGCUCCUGGAAAGUACCAUUCGAGGGGAAGGCAGGAGUGUGCAAAUCUCACAGUGCGUCUUUAUUCACCUUGUUUACCCUGACACCAUGAAACUGCUGGCUCUGCACCAAAGUCAAAAUGGCUGUGACAGGUCAAUGUUUGGAACCGAUUCAGGACAUUGAAGUAACCAUGAAUGUGCAACUCAGAAAAGAGAGCUUCCAAAAGUGCUCAGAAUACAGUAAGAGUGGGGUAAAUGUAUUCACACAUAGGGCGAGUAUUUUGAGAAGGA
rnacentral:lncRNA from 1 species